rnacentral:rRNA from 1 species
GACGGAGGGUGCAAGCGUUAUUCGGAUUUAUUGGGCGUAAAGAGCAUGUAGGCGGUCGGUCAAGUCUGAUGUGAAAGCCCGGGGCUUAACCUCGGAAGGGCGUUGGAAACUGGUCGACUUGAGUUCGGGAGAGGAAAGCGGAAUUCCGGGUGUAGAGGUGAAAUUCGUAGAUAUCCGGAGGAACACCGGUGGCGAAGGCGGCUUUCUGGACCGAAACUGACGCUGAGAUGCGAAAGCGUGGGGAGCAAACAGG